rnacentral:ncRNA from 1 species
UUCUUGUAUAAGUCUAUUAAUUUGGGGUAGACGUCUCGACCGGGCGACCAUAAUCGUCUUAGGCUACAGGAA